rnacentral:rRNA from 1 species
UGCCAGCAGCCGCGGUAAUAAAGAGAUGACAACCGUUGUUCGGAGUCACUGGGCUUAAAGAGUACGUAGGCGGGAAGUUAAGUUAAAUGUGAAAGCCCAUGGCUUACCCAUGGAAUUGCAUUUAAUACUGAUUUUCUUGAGAACAGAAGGGGAGAGUGGAGCUCAUGGUGGAGCGGUGAAAUGCGUUGAUAUCAAGAGGAACGCCGGUGGCGAAAGCGACUCUCUGGUCUGCUUCUGACGCUGAGGUACGAAAGCUAGGGGAGCAAACAGGAUUAGAUA